UACGAAGGGGGCUAGCGUUGCUCGGAAUUACUGGGCGUAAAGCGCACGUAGGCGGUCUUUUAAGUCAGGGGUGAAAUCCUGGAGCUCAACUCCAGAACUGCCUUUGAUACUGAAGAUCUUGAGUUCGGGAGAGGUGAGUGGAACUGCGAGUGUAGAGGUGAAAUUCGUAGAUAUUCGCAAAGAACACCAGUGGCGAAGGCGGCUCACUGGCCCGAUACUGACGCUGAGGCACGAAAGCGUGGGGAGCAAACAGG
rnacentral:rRNA from 1 species